rnacentral:rRNA from 1 species
AGUGAACGCUGGCGGCAUGCCUAACACAUGCAAGUCGAACGGACCCUUCCGGUCUCGUGGCGGCCGGGGGAGUAACACGUGGGAACGUGCCCUUAGGUUCGGAGUAGCUCAGGGAAACGCGUCCUAAUAUCGAAUGUGCCCUUCGGGGGAAAGAUUUAUCGCCCUUAGGGCGGCCCCGCUCUGAUUAGCCUGUUGGUUGGGGUAAGGGCCCACCAAGGCGACGAUCCGUAGCUGGUCUGAGAGGAUGAGCAGCCACAUUGGCAGUGAGACACGGCCCAAACUGAUAGGGGAGGGAGGAGUGGGGAAUCCUGCGAAAGGGGCGAAAGGAAGACGGAGCCAUGGCGGGAGAAUGAUGAGGGUGUGAAGAGUGUAAAAUUCUUUAAACGGGGGCGAUAAUGACGGUACCUGGAGAAGAAGCCCCGGCUAACUUCGUG